CCACGGCCAAACUCGAAAGAAGAGCAACCUAAAGCAGUCACCGAUUCCAUUUGUGCAAGUCGCCGAUUCCACCUUUGUGAAUCGCCGACUCCCAUAGUGAAUCGCCGACUCCACUUGGUUCUUUCUCUCGGGCUAGUUCUAGCAACACUUGCUCUCUAGUUGGAACACGCUUUUGUCUACAAUGACUUCCGAAAGACAAAAGCACAAC
rnacentral:lncRNA from 1 species